rnacentral:rRNA from 1 species
GUCGAACGCUUCUUUUUCCACCGGAGCUUGCUCCACCGGAAAAAGAGGAGUGGCGAACGGGUGAGUAACACGUGGGUAACCUGCCCAUCAGAAGGGGAUAACACUUGGAAACAGGUGCUAAUACCGUAUAACAAUCAAAACCGCAUGGUUUUGAUUUGAAAGGCGCUUUCGGGUGUCGCUGAUGGAUGGACCCGCGGUGCAUUAGCUAGUUGGUGAGGUAACGGCUCACCAAGGCCACGAUGCAUAGCCGACCUGAGAGGGUGAUCGGCCACAUUGGGACUGAGACACGGCCCAAACUCCUACGGGAGGCAGCAGUAGGGAAUCUUCGGCAAUGGACGAAAGUCUGACCGAGCAACGCCGCGUGAGUGAAGAAGGUUUUCGGAUCGUAAAACUCUGUUGUUAGAGAAGAACAAGGAUGAGAGUAACUGUUCAUCCCUUGACGGUAUCUAACCAGAAAGCCACGGCUAACUACGUGCCAGCAGCCGCGGUAAUACGUAGGUGGCAAGCGUUGUCCGGAUUUAUUGGGCGUAAAGCGAGCGCAGGCGGUUUCUUAAGUCUGAUGUGAAAGCCCCCGGCUCAACCGGGGAGGGUCAUUGGAAACUGGGAGACUUGAGUGCAGAAGAGGAGAGUGGAAUUCCAUGUGUAGCGGUGAAAUGCGUAGAUAUAUGGAGGAACACCAGUGGCGAAGGCGGCUCUCUGGUCUGUAACUGACGCUGAGGCUCGAAAGCGUGGGGAGCAAACAGGAUUAGAUACCCUGGUAGUCCACGCCGUAAACGAUGAGUGCUAAGUGUUGGAGGGUUUCCGCCCUUCAGUGCUGCAGCUAACGCAUUAAGCACUCCGCCUGGGGGAGUACGACCGCAAGGGUUGAAACUCAAAGGAAUUGACGGGGGGCCCGCACAAGCGGUGGAAGCAUGUGGGUUUAAUUCGAAGCAACG